UACGUAGGGGGCUAGCGUUGUCCGGAAUCAUUGGGCGUAAAGCGCGUGUAGGCGGCCCGGUAAGUCCGCUGUGAAAGUCGAGGGCUCAACCCUCGAAAGCCGGUGGAUACUGUCGGGCUCGAGUGCGGGAGAGGCGAGUGGAAUUCCUGGUGUAGCGGUGAAAUGCGCAGAUAUCAGGAGGAACACCGAUUGCGAAGGCAGCUCGCUGGAACGUAACUGACGCUGAGGCGACGAAAGCGUGGGGAGCAAACAGG
rnacentral:rRNA from 1 species